rnacentral:tRNA from 1 species
AACCAGUUUGCUUUGUGGAUAAGGUACUGGAUCGCCAAUCCGGAGACACCGGGUUCGAUUCCCGUUCUGGUCG